rnacentral:rRNA from 1 species
CCUACGGGGAGCUGCAGUGAGGAAUAUUGGUCAAUGGGCGCGAGCCUGAACCAGCCAAGUAGCGUGAAGGAUGACUGCCCUACGGGUUGUAAACUUCUUUUAUAAAGGAAUAAAGUGAGGCACGUGUGCCUUUUUGUAUGUACUUUAUGUAUAAGGAUCGGCUAACUCCGUGCCAGCAGCCGCGGUAAUACGGAGGAUCCGAGCGUUAUACGGAUUUAUUGGGUUUAAAGGGAGCGUAGAUGGGUUGUUAAGUCAGUUGUGAAAGUUUGCGGCUCAACCGUAAAAUUGCAAUUGAUACUGGCUGUCUUGAGUACAGUUGAGGUAGGCGGAAUUCGUGGUGUAGCGGUGAAAUGCUUAGAUAUCACGAAGAACUCCGAUUGCGAAGGCAGCUUACUAAACUGCCACUGACAUUGAUGCUCGAAAGUGUGGGUAUCAAACAGGAUUAGAUACCCCAGUAGUC